AACGAUGAACCACAUUCGGUGGGGAUUAGUGGCGAACGGGUGAGUAACACGUGGGCAAUCUGCCCUGCACUCUGGGACAAGCCCUGGAAACGGGGUCUAAUACCGGAUACUGACCCUCACGGGCAUCUGUGAGGUUCGAAAGCUCCGGCGGUGCAGGAUGAGCCCGCGGCCUAUCAGCUUGUUGGUGAGGUAAUGGCUCACCAAGGCGACGACGGGUAGCCGGCCUGAGAGGGCGACCGGCCACACUGGGACUGAGACACGGCCCAGACUCCUACGGGAGGCAGCAGUGGGGAAUAUUGCACAAUGGGCGAAAGCCUGAUGCAGCGACGCCGCGUGAGGGAUGACGGCCUUCGGGUUGUAAACCUCUUUCAGCAGGGAAGAAGCGAAAGUGACGGUACCUGCAGAAGAAGCGCCGGCUAACUACGUGCCAGCAGCCGCGGUAAUACGUAGGGCGCGAGCGUUGUCCGGAAUUAUUGGGCGUAAAGAGCUCGUAGGCGGCUUGUCACGUCGGUUGUGAAAGCCCGGGGCUUAACCCCGGGUCUGCAGUCGAUACGGGCAGGCUAGAGUUCGGUAGGGGAGAUCGGAAUUCCUGGUGUAGCGGUGAAAUGCGCAGAUAUCAGGAGGAACACCGGUGGCGAAGGCGGAUCUCUGGGCCGAUACUGACGCUGAGGAGCGAAAGCGUGGGGAGCGAACAGGAUUAGAUACCCUGGUAGUCCACGCCGUAAACGGUGGGCACUAGGUGUGGGCAACAUUCCACGUUGUCCGUGCCGCAGCUAACGCAUUAAGUGCCCCGCCUGGGGAGUACGGCCG
rnacentral:rRNA from 1 species